UAAACAACGUUGAUCUGAACAAGUAAAUGAUCGUCGCCGUGUUCAGAGAGCCGCUAGCUGCUGUGAAAGCGGUACACUGGCAUUCAUUGAAUGGAUCAGGGAGUUGUGCGGGCGAACCGCAAGCAGUAGCCUGCGCCGGGAAUGCGCACCCGUUAUCAAUGCGCGGGGUAUCGGCUUAUGCAAGCCUGUAUCCUUCAAGGAGCGGUCAUCGGCAGAUGAUCAUCAAGGUGGCACCACGGGAAAGCCUCUUCUCGUCCUUGUU
rnacentral:ncRNA from 1 species